CAGUAGCCACGGUAAUACGGGGGGGGCAAGUGUUAUUCGGAAUGACUGGGCGUAAAGGGCACGUAGGCGGUGAAAAGGGUGGAAAGUGAAAGUCGCCAAAACACUGGCGGGGUGCUUUCUUGACCAUUUCACUUGAGUGAGAUAGGGGAGAGUGGAAUUUCGUGUGGAGGGAUCAAAUCCUAAGAUAUACGAAGGAACGCCAACCGCGAAGGCAGCUCUCUGGGUCCCCACUGACGCUGGGGUGCGAAAGCAUGGGGAGCAAACAGGAUCAGAUACCCGAGUAGUCCCUGUCUCUUAUACA
rnacentral:rRNA from 1 species